GAGGAGGAAGCCGUUCAAGAAGAAGAGGAGGAAACGACGGAAGAGCCUCCUCCGGAUCCUUUGGCUAUCGUAAAAGUAGUCGAAGAAGAAGAAGAGGUUGACUUCUUGAAUACAAGAGACGACGCUGUGACCGUCGACCGCCGUGAGAACGACCUUGCGCUUGCGUUGUUCGACGGAACAACCGUCGCUCGUCCAGCGGCGCCCGUCUGGGAGGCGUUUGCGGACGAAGCGGAUUGGGAGACUGCGCUCGUGGAGUCGGCCAGCAGUCUCUCCGGGCAGAGGACGGCGCUUGGCGGGGGAUUCGAUACGCUGCUGCUCGACGGGAUGUAUAUAUGACAUACCUUCUUAAUAUUGCUCUCUUUUCUGAUAAGAUGUUUAGUCUAGCAAUUCCACCAUACAUUGAUGUCAGCGAUGCACGCGAGGAAGAAAUAGUAUCC